rnacentral:rRNA from 1 species
UACGUAGGCAGCGAGCGUUGUUCGGAAUUACUGGGCGUAAAGAGUGUGUAGGCGGUGCUCUAAGUUCGGUGUGAAAUCUCCCGGCUUAACUGGGAGGGUGCGCCGGAAACUGGAGUGCUCGAACGUGGGAGAGGAAAGCGGAAUUCCUGGUGUAGCGGUGAAAUGCGUAGAUAUCAGGAGGAACGCCAAUGGCGAAGGCAAGUCUCUGGACAGUUCCUGACGCUCAUGCACGAAGGCCAGGGGAGCAAACGGG